GGGUUGUGAGGUUAAGCGACUAAGCGUACACGGUGGAUGCCCUGGCAGUCAGAGGCGAUGAAGGGCGUGCUAAUCUGCGAUAAGCGCCGGUAAGGUGAUAUGAACCGUUAUAACCGGCGAUACCCGAAUGGGGAAACCCAGUGUGAUUCGUCACACUAUCAUUAACUGAAUCCAUAGGUUAAUGAGGCGAACCGGGGGAACUGAAACAUCUAAGUACCCCGAGGAAAAGAAAUCAACCGAGAUUCCCCCAGUAGCGG
rnacentral:rRNA from 1 species